GGCUCAGCAGCGUUCCUCGUCGGACCAGAGAGUCGGUGAAAACCUUUGGCAGAAGGUGGCGAUCUGCAAUGACCUGCGGGAAAGUCUUGGAGGAGAGCGGGAGCCAGGAAUUGGAAGGAUUACGUCACGGCUGGAACAUGUUGGUUCCACAAUGACAAAGGAAAUGGCAGGAUCCAGUGUAAUUUUUAGUGUAAUGGGGCCAAUAUUGUUCUUUGGGAGGAAAUAGAUUUUUUGAAUUUCUCAUUAUAAGUCAACAGGAAAAUAAGACAUUACGUACAAAAAAUGCACUCGCUUGCAACUUUCCGAGGAUAUAUUUGCUAUGUAAUGUGAGGUUCCUUAUUUUUAAGCUGAUAAUUUAAGUAACGUUAUUGUAAUUUACUUCUUAACUUUUAAAUGUUGUCUUUAUUUAGAAAUAACUGUACUUUUAGAAAAGGCAACAUAAAUCAAUACCAUGAAAUGAAUCACUUUGGCCUGUACCAGAGACAACUUUGCAUCUACAACGACGUCACAGAGUCUGGGGUUCUGAGCGCUGAUCCUAAGAGCUGGACUUCAGGGGCGGCGAUGGCGCUCUGCUGAACUGAACGAACCACGGCUCCUCACCCAUACGCGAGAAGCGGCAUCCCGGCCUUCGCGGCGCUCAGCCUGCGUGGGGCGGCAGCUGGCAUGAUCAGGACUAUUCAGGGGGAGCAAGAAACCGAGUGCCAGGCACAUCAGGCCAAGUCCUCAGCCCCACCUUACUUGUUCCCUGCAAACCAGAUCACAGUGACCCUACAGCACGUAUCAGUUUCCAAAGGCUGCCUUCACAAAUGACGGAAAACAUGGCUGGAAGCGGCGGAAAUGUAUUCUCACAGUCCUAGAGACUAGAAAUCCAAAACCCAGGUGUCGGCAGGGCCCCGCCCCUCCGAAGGCUCUGUGGGAAGAUCCUUCCUGGCUUCUCCGGCGCUUCGGCUCCGUGAAUUCUGGCCGUCCUUGGCCUGCAGCUGCAUCUUCCGAUCUCUGCCUCUGGCUUUGUGUGGCUGUCUUCCCCGUGACUGUGUCCAGAUUCUUAUAUAAGGACACCAGUCAUUGGCUUAAGGCGUACCCUAGUGGUCACCUUCACAGGUCUCAGGGGUUAGGACUUCAACUUCUAUUGCAGGACGACACAGUCCUACCCACUGCAGAGUAUUGCAUGCUGGACAUUUGGCCAAGCUGUUUCUUUGAAUUGUUUCACUUCAUCCUUGUAAAAAUCCUAGGAUGUAGAAACUCCAUUUUACAGAUAAGGAAACCGAGACUCGGAAAGUCAAAGCCAACCGCCCAGGGCCACACGGCUCUGAUACGGCAGAGGAGAACUCAAAUCCACUUCUCUCUUACCCUGGAAUCUUAACCCCUGGACUAGAUGCUACAUUCAAAAAUUGCAAGUCAUUACAGCCUAGUUAGAAUCUGUUUUCUGGGUCAAAUAACUGGUCAGAUCUGGAAUCAGAACUUUGAAGGGGUGUCAGCAAAAGCUCCAAGCUGGUGAGGGGGGAUCUUUGCCUGAGAAGGGAAUAAAGAACCAACUUAAACUUCAUCAACAGUUCCUGAUUAAUUGUUACAAAGUGUCAUCCAUAAAUUUCCCUUCGAUCUAAUAAUCCUCUCAGACGAUUUAACAAUAUCCCCAGCGAGUUGGCUUUAUUGAGGGCUGAGUUCCUGAGAAGGAAGGCAGCGACACAAAUAGCUCAAGUGCAUGGAGACAGUCGCUGGCCAGUCUUCCCAGCGCUGACAGCUCUGAAAUACAAUUAUCAGUGUGAUCUGCUUAAGAAUUCAUCAUCAGCUCCUGCCUUCUGAAGACUUAAAAAAAUACCGAGACAUACAAAGAGAAAGAGGUGAUAAGAAGGCAUCAUUUUCCUCCAGCCUCAUAACUGUAAAUUGAAGAAAAUUAUUUUCUUUGCCUCCAGCUCAUUGGCAUAUAGGCAGCAUUAUAUUAUAAUUUCAUAAGCAUAAAUCCUUUGAAUAAAUUUCAGAAGAAUAACUGAAUUAGAAAUGCAAGUAAAGUAUCUAAAAAACUUCACUGUCCUAGGCAGAGGAGGAGAUGUGAGAAGCAGAGGGAAAGAGAGAAUUCCUCUCUGGCGACCUUCCCUGGGUUACCAGGGACCUGGGACAAGGUCUGGCUCAGGGAAAGACAGUUCUUAACCCUACUCUGAGCCCAGUGGCAAAUAAAAUAGCCCCCUCUCCUCUUCCCACUGGUAUGUUCCGAGGAAUUCGAGUCGUAAUUCAUCAUAAAUUAAUUUUGGAGAAACAACAGGCUUGGGGCACGUUAUAAUUAUUGUUAUUUGUUUAUUUAUUAUCACGUUAACCGUUAUUUAUUAUUAUGUUACGCAUAUGUGAGACCACAAAGGCUGCUCCCCGCAGUUUCCUGGCAACACGGCCGUGAGUUCUUCACACGCAAGUUACCAAGUGCGCGGCUCCGAGAAGGGCGGGUGGGAGGAGCUGGACGCGGUUUGGGGUCCCCGGCUUCUGCGCUUUCCUGAGGGGACCCAGUGGGACGGCCGGUCCGGAUGAAGAGUCUGUCUGGCACUGCGGCGACGGUUCAUGAUCUGCACAGCAGAUCGUCUGCAAACAAAGACCAUUUAGAGGCAAAGCUCUGGCCCCGAGAAAGACGCCAGGGGCUGGCUCAAGUUCAAGGAGGAAGAGGGCCCUUCUUGGUGUUCUGGGCAGCCGGCCACAGACACCUUCCAUCCCACCAGGCCACUCAGGGAGGAGGAGGUGAGGACUGGGAGGGGCAGGGGAGCCUCCGGGAGCCGCCUCGCCCCCACCCUGGGCUCUGGUGGUCUUCCUCCCCUCCCCAAGGCAGCUAACUGGGGGGGCCACCGGUAUGCGGGGAGCAGCCCUUGUGGUCUCACAUAUGUGACAUAAUAAUAAAUAAUGGCUAACGUGACAAUAAACAAAUUACAACAACAACAACAUUCUAAUGCCCACUGGACAAUGGAAUCCCCUGGGAAUGUUUUUGUUGUUGUUUUUCUUCCUAAAUUUUUAAUUUUAAAAUAAUGAACUUGUAGAAAAAUUGUAAAGAUAGCACAGAGUUCCUACAUAGCCCACACCCCAUCUCCUCUUUUCCCAUUAUUAGAUCGUGUUCCUCUGUGCAUCCGCCCCAGUUCACAGAGCAGUACUGACUCACAGGAGUGCUUCACUGAAGCCCACGCUUUAUUCGGGGUUCUCUAGUCUUUACCUAAAAUCCGUCUCUACCCCGGACCCCAGCCGGGACACCCCAUGGCCCUCAAUCCUCAGUUCUCCUUAGACUCCUCUUGGUGGUGAUGGAUUCUCAGACUUUCCUGUGUUGAAUGACCUUGACCUUGGCUGUUCUGAGGAGGACCGGCAGGAACACUGAAGAAUUGGAGUUUGAUGUUUUUCUCAUAGUGGGUUGAGUGGAGACUGCACCUGUGAUGGAGGUCGAGCGCUUUCAUCCCAUCCCAUCAAGGGUGCAUCGGGUCAACGUAACCGAGCAUGGUUAAACGUGAUGACCUGGCUGAAGCAGUGUCUGCCAGGUUUCUCCACUGUAAAACUGCCUUACCCCUUUCCAUACCUUUUGGAAGAAGUCAUUAUGAGCAGCCCACGUGGCCAAAGUGGGGAGCUGUGCUUCCCCUCUUCAAGGGCAGGGGAUCUACAUAAGUUAUUUGGAAGUCUGCACAGAAAACUUGUCACUCUCCCUCCAAUUAUUUAUUUCCUCAGUCAUUUCUAUCAGAAUAGGCUGGCUCUAUACUUUGAGUUAUUUUCCAAUGCUAUCUUACUUUGUUGCUCAAAUUGCUCUAGCUUUAGCCACUGGGGGUUCUUUCCAUUGCCUCCUAUGUCCCUUUAAAAUGUCCCCAUUAUGGCGGCAUCCUGGGUGUUUUGGUUUGGCUUGGUUUGGACACUUCCUUGCUUUCUGCUCCAGGCUCAUCUUGUUUACUCCCCUCCCAGUCCCAGAAUUAAGCAUUUCUUCACAGAACCCGGGAUCCUUGUAUGGAAGACUGGGAUUAGCAACCACUAUCUGGUGCUGGGUUUCAAGACUCUCCUACAUUGACGCUUGCUUCCAGUAUAAAAUAAAGGUAUUAUAACAUAUAACACAGUCUGAAUUUAAAAUAAAUCUAGUAUUAAAAAUAAUGCUACAAUGAAUGAACCAUCAGGCACCAUUUCUUAGGCACUAGAGAGAUGGUUACUGAGGGGAAACUGCUAGAGAUCCAUCAGAUCUGCCCUGCCUUCUUCCCAAUCACAAAUCUGGACUGCGGUGCCUGCUUUCCACAGCUGGGAGUGGUCGGUGACUACGCACUCCUCAGUGGAACGGGAGAGGAAGCCCGAUGCACCGCCACACCUAGCUCUUAACCUAUGGAUGUGUCUCAUCCACACCCUCUCCCUGCUUUCUUGAUGAAAACUUCUGGCCAUGCAGAGAUAGACAUUGCCAUAGGGAAAGACAGAAAAAGGAUCUCACAACUUGGACAGAGCCUGCUUCUUGAAUGACUUCGUUGGAGCAGAGCCACUUGUGGGGCUGGAAUAUUCCUGUGGAUUUUUACCUGAGAGGGAUAAACCUCUACAGUCCUCAGAACACACACGGGUCCAUUUGUUACCCUAGCUUGCAGAGGGCACCCCAGAUCUUACAGGGUACCCAGGUCUCACAGCGUACCCCAGCUCAUACAGGAUACCAGGCCCAUGCAGCAUACCCUAGCUCAUACAGGAUACCCCAGUUCAUAAAGGAUACCCCAGCUCAUACAGGAUACCCCAGUUCAUACAAAAUAGCUCAGCUCAUAACCGAUAUCCAGCUCAUGCAGGAUACCCCAGCUCAUACAGGAUACCCCAGUUCAUAAAGGAUACCCAGCUCAUACAGGAUACCCCAGCUCAUACAGGAUACCCCAGUUCA
rnacentral:lncRNA from 1 species